UGGCGGGCGAGCGAUGUACCUGCUCGGGGAAGCGACUGCGCUCGAAUCAUUUCCUCGUCGUGGAUUUCAGGGGAGUCGGGCGCUACGGGAAAACCAAGCGGUGUUUUGGAAGGGCUGUCCUGAGAUCCUGGUGGGGAUCGGUGGAUGCCUUUGGCCAUUCGCUAUUCGAGGAAUUGUCUGGGAUCAAGUGAGCUUUACCUUCAGCUUCCGGAGGGAUCGAUGAAGCUUUCUUCGGGACUGGCAGAGAGUUUGUGAUGGAUCCUGGUUAAGAAGAAAUCGUGGGAGUUCAAAUGAAAUUACCUUUGUUCCUGUGAAUCUUGAUCUCUUCUGCCCAGUCCCGAGAACCGAAAGUUUGGAAUGGAAGGGAUCUAACGAGAUUAGUUUAGCCCUUCCCACCGUCUUCUUUUCUUCCUUUCGACCAAAUGGAUCUAUGCUUGGAGAGCUCUUUCCGCUUAGAAAUGAUACUGCCUUGGAAAUAUAUAUAUACAUACAUACAUACAUAUACACAUGCGGUAUACAUCUGCCUCUUGGGGGAAGCAGCGACGUCUUGGGGGUGAAGACGCCUCUAUUUCUUACCGGACCGACCAAGGAAAGUCACCGGGGGAUGCCUGCCUGUCGUUCUCUGAUCUGGAUAUAACGCUUCGCAGUGAUGCUUUCCUUCUCUCGCCUCCUCUCCCUCGUCCCUGAGUUCUGGCGUUUUGCCAUUCAUAAAUAAGCUUGGAGGCGCCUUUGGCAUCCCGUGUUUGUGGAAUAUAAUGGGUGGCUGCCUCCUGUCACUUUUGUUCUCCGUGGAAGGAUUACGUACCAGAAGGAAAUCGAUAAUUGGGAUCCAGAAAGAUGCUGACAGAAAGGCUGUCUCUGGAGAAAAGACCUCGCUUGAUGGAAAAUACCACUUUUAUAAAUUAUGAAAUUGAUUUUUUAUGUAACCCAUCUUGUGUAAGAUCCAAAAUAGAUACAAACUGUGACUGAAGAAAUCGGAGCCUAUCCCCUUUAGUCAUGUGGAAAGCCAGGAAGAAAUAAAUCCAUCAUCUAAACAUAUCUUCAUAUCUUUUCAACUUUGCCAAUUUUUGAUCUAAGCUUCAGAAAACCAUAAAACUGUGAAUGGUACCUCGAAUUUAGCUUUGGAAUAAAUAUAAAUAGAGAUACAUUAGAAAUUUACCUUCUCUACAUAAAAUAAUCUUUAUGGACAAAAAUGGAAUGAUACUUUGAUUCCCACAAUGGAUGAAUGGCUACAAAAGUUGAUGAAAUUAGUUUUGAUUAAAUUAAAAAAAACCAACCCAAUUACUUUUGUUUCUACUUGGAAACCACUUCUUGAGGUGGCAAAAAAUGAAAUUUUGAUUUAGGCUUUUACCAAUUAGAUAGGUUUGUUGUUAUCAAAAUGGCUAGUUCCAUACUAUUAUGUAAAAGUAAAAAGUUGAGGUUUGGUGCUGUUAUCUUAUUCUGCUGCACCAAAGGGAGUCAUAAGCCUUUUCUUUCUUCUCCCCCUUUUCCCUAUACUCUUCCCUUCCCUUCUCCCUCCCCUACUUUCCCACUAUUUUCUUUGGUAUUUUUGUAUUUUACAUUAUAAACUAAUAAAAAAAUCAAAAUAAAUUUAUCAUCUCUGAAAAGUAAAGGAAUUAAACACUU